GGGUCAGUAGGUUGGUCGUGCCACCGGUACGUACUGGUCUUACUGAUUCCUCCUUCCUGAAGAACCGUAAUGCCAUUAAUUUGGUGUUGCGGGGAAACAGGACUGUUACUUUGAAAAAAUUAGAGUGUUUAAAGCAAGCUAACGCUUGAAUACAUUAGCAUGGAAUAAUGAAAUAGGACGAUCGAUCCUAUUUUGUGGGUUUCUAGGAUUGACGUA
rnacentral:rRNA from 1 species